GUGAGCUGGCGGACGGCUUUCGAACGCAUGAAGCGUUUGAGGAAACUCCGCCCACCACACAGAACUGUAAUGCCCGUAAGGGCAUAAGACGAGAAUCUUGGCUCCAGAACAGAAACGGAACGUCCAUCCGCGAUAGGACUAUGAUAUGUGUUAAGUCGUUGAGGAUGCUAGAUGGGAGCGUUGAAACGGCUGACCUGCAGGGUGGAAGGGCAAAUAGGCGUCCGUGAGUUUCUGUGGGAGACGCGGGUAGCCCGUUUAGCUGAAUGCCGUCUCGAACAAAAGGCGGGUUACGACCAACUCAC
rnacentral:RNase_P_RNA from 1 species